rnacentral:rRNA from 1 species
UACGUAGGGUGCGAGCGUUAAUCGGAAUUACUGGGCGUAAAGCGUGCGCAGGCGGUUUUGUAAGCCAGAUGUGAAAUCCCCGGGCUCAACCUGGGAACUGCAUUUGUGACUGCAUCGCUGGAGUGCGGCAGAGGGGGAUGGAAUUCCGCGUGUAGCAGUGAAAUGCGUAGAUAUGCGGAGGAACACCGAUGGCGAAGGCGCUCUGCUAGGCCGUAACUGACACUGAGGGACGAAAGCUAGGGGAGCGAAUGGG